rnacentral:lncRNA from 1 species
CGGGCGCGCGCGCGCACGCCAAACCCUUUCCUCUCGCGCGCGGGCGGAGGGAGGACGUUGAAGAGUCGUGGGCCUAGGAAAAAAGCGAUUGGUGCUGGGGCGGGCAAAGGGCAAGUGCGCGCACGCGCACGGAUGGGAGUGCGCACGCAGACUGCGCGGAGGGCGCCGGACUCUGGCUGCGGCUGUAGUUUGCUGAUCCUCGCUUGGGUACCCGCCCUUAGAGGCCCGGCGUUGAAUUCCGGGAAGUGGGAGCUGCAGGCUCGCUCCGUGCGGGUUGAAGAUGAACUGAACAAGGAGGAGUUACAGAUACCAGAAGGGUGUUGUGCUAUUGAAGAUGAGUAAGUGCUUCAUGGAAAGUAGUUGAGAUGCAUUUCUCCUCUCCUAUCCUUGGACAUCAGUCCUCCAGACGCCGGCCUUUGGACUCUAGGACAUAACACCAGCAGCCCCCAGAUUCUCAGACCUUCAGCUUCCAACUGAGAGUUACACCAUUGGCUUUCCUGAUUCUGAGCCCUUCAGACUUGGGCUGAACCACACUACCAGCAUCCCAGAGCCACCUGUUUGCUGAUGGCCUGCUGAGAGACUUCCCACCCUCCAUAAUCAUGUGAGCCAAUUCCGCUAAUGAAUACCCUCUCAUAUGUCUAUGUACACACCCUAUUAGAUCUGUCCUUCUGAGAACUCCAACUAAUAUACAUCAUCUACAUAUAUUUGUGCAACUUACCUGUCCCCUACAAGUACUUGGGCUUGCUACUUCUUUUGUAGCCUGCAUUAGGCAAAGCAGUCUCCUCUAUUGCUAUCCUUAUUUUAUUUUUCUUUUAAUUUUUUAUUCUUUCUGGCAUAUAUAUGCCUCUAGAUAUGAUUCUUUCCUUAUUUUAAAGUAUGCUUAAGCCAGGUGCAGUGGCUCACACCUGUAUCCCCAGCACUUUGGGAGGCUGAGGUGGGUGGAUCACCUGAGGUCAGGAGUUCGAAACCAGCCUGAUCAACAUAGUGAAACAACAUCUCUACCAAAAAUACAAAACUAGCCAGGUGUGGUGGCACAUGCCUGUAAUCCUAGCUACUUGGGAGGCUGAGGCGGGG